GAGUUUUCUAAAACCUCAUUCUUAAUUCUCUUCUUUUUUGCUCCGCAGAUCUGUCAUAGGUAUCGGGUUACCUAAAUCCGAGCACUUAGGAUAAACUCUGGCUUCCGUGAUCCUCCCUGCACCCCCCUCCUCACCAGGGGAAUACUCAUUUAUUUCCACAAUGCUCUGCCCUCUUCCUGCAAACAGGAUUUUCAUUCUCCAGGCUUGAAGCACCAAUUGUAUAAUUCGAUACAAAAAGUAUCCUGGAAAAGCAUAAGCUCAACCUCCCAGUCAUGGUACCCUGGCAAGACGCUUGGUCUUCGAGGGGAAGAAGGACUGGGACCAGGGCUACAGAGAGGAAGAGACAAGGACACCCGCAUUAAUGAAACCUAUCGUCAAAUGAUAUCUUCUAGGAUCAAAAUUCUAGUUUUAUAAUUUCAGAAAGAAGUAUAUUCUGCCCCCAGUUUUGGGUGGGGCAGGCUGCCUUUAAGGAAGUAUUUUGAUCUACUUUUGUUUAGCCAGUUGAACACUUAGGAGAACUGAUUUUAUUGUCUCUCUAGCCAGUGAUGUACCUAGAUGAUGGUCAAAGAGGACUUUAACUUCCAGUAAUCUUAACCCUUUUAUGAGUGCAAAUUGAUCACUUAACAUUUUUUAAAAAGUCCAUUUGGUAUCUGACCUGUUAACCUUCAUAUGACGCCAUGACAUCUUAAAAUCAGAGAAACUAUUAGAAAAAUUAUGUCUUAAAUAUGGGCCUUUGUAUCUUUUACACAUUCUCUUCUCCAGUGGUUAUUACCUAAUAAUUUUUGACACUGGUGAUUAAACAUAAAGUUUUACAUUUUAUGAUUUUCUUUCAAACACACGAUUGCGAACAUAUAUAUCAAGGCAAAAAUUAAACAUUCUUCAAGAGUCUGCAAUUAUAUUUAUACAUUAAAAUGUCAACUGGGUGAAAUGAGAAACUUCAAACAAUAUUUUAAUCUCAUUGUUUUAAAACAAAACAAGUCAUCAGUGUUUUAUCAUCAGUCCUAAUAAUCUCACUUUUAAACAACAGAAAGGGACACUGGUAGCCUUUUUUUAAAAAUUAAUUUUACUGGUGAUUAUGAUUAGAAAAAUUCAGUUAAUUAUUUGAUAUGUUCAUAACCAUAUCAUAUCUGAUUAGAGAGUAAUCUCCAAUCCUUACAACUUGAUUACUGCAACACUUAUUAUACUAUCAUUUAUUCCUGAAUCUUAGCACUUGAGGUCCCUUCUAGAGGUUAGGUCAGUGCUGAAGUUUCCGUGCCUCAAACGAAAACCUUGACUUUAUAUUGUUGCGUACAUGCUGGCAGCCUGCCUGUGCUCAAUUCUGAAACAGAAGGUCGAGAUCGUCCGAGAGAAAAGCCUUGUUUUGGACAGAGUAGGAAUUCUCUGAGCAAAGUUUAUCUUCCAGCACCCCCUGCCC
rnacentral:lncRNA from 1 species